rnacentral:rRNA from 1 species
GACGAACGCUGGCGGCGCGCCUAACACAUGCAAGUCGAACGAGCGAGAGAGAGCUUGCUUUCUCGAGCGAGUGGCGAACGGGUGAGUAACGCGUGAGGAACCUGCCUCAAAGAGGGGGACAACAGUUGGAAACGACUGCUAAUACCGCAUAAGCCCACGGCUCGGCAUCGAGCAGAGGGAAAAGGAGCAAUCCGCUUUGAGAUGGCCUCGCGUCCGAUUAGCUAGUUGGUGAGGUAAUGGCCCACCAAGGCAACGAUCGGUAGCCGGACUGAGAGGUUGAACGGCCACAUUGGGACUGAGACACGGCCCAGACUCCUACGGGAGGCAGCAGUGGGGAAUAUUGCACAAUGGGGGAAACCCUGAUGCAGCGACGCCGCGUGGAGGAAGAAGGUCUUCGGAUUGUAAACUCCUGUUGUUGAGGAAGAUAAUGACGGUACUCGACAAGGAAGUGACGG